rnacentral:rRNA from 1 species
GAUGAACGCUAGCGGCAGGCCUAACACAUGCAAGUCGAGGGAGAAGCCCUUUCGGGGGCAGAAACCGGCGCACGGGUGCGUAACGCGUAUGCAACCUACCCUUCACAGGGGGAUAGCCCGAAGAAAUUUGGAUUAAUACCCCAUAAUAUUAUUGGAUGGCAUCAUUUGAUAAUUAAAACUGCGGUGGUGAAAGAUGGGCAUGCGUCCUAUUAGCUAGUUGGAGUGGUAACGGCACCCCAAGGCUACGAUAGGUAGGGGUCCUGAGAGGGAGAUCCCCCACACUGGUACUGAGACAGGGACCAGACUCCUACGGGAGGCAGCAGUGAGGAAUAUUGGUCAAUGGUCGGAAGACUGAACCAGCCAUGCCGCGUGCAGGAAGAAUGCCUUAUGGGUUGUAAACUGCUUUUAUAUGGGAAGAAUAAGGCGUACGUGUACGUUGAUGACGGUACCAUAUGAAUAAGCAUCGGCUAACUCCGUG